rnacentral:rRNA from 1 species
GACGAACGCUGGCGGCGUGCUUAACACAUGCAAGUCGAACGAAGUGGCGAACGGGUGAGUAACGCGUAAUCAACCUGCCCUUCAGAGGGGGACAACAGUUGGAAACGACUGCUAAUACCGCAUACUGAAGGUGGGGAUUGCGUCUGAUUAGCUAGGUGGAGGGGUAACGGCCCACCAAGGCGAUGAUCAGUAGCCGGUCUGGGAGGAGGAACGGCCAAAGUGGGACUGAGACACGGGCCAGAAUCCUACGGGAGGGAGCAGUGGGGAAACUUCCGCAAUGGACGAAAGUCUGACGGGGCAACGCCGCGGGGGGGAUGACGGGCUUCGGGUUGUAAAGCUCUGUUAAUCGGGACGCGGUACCGAAAUAGAAAGCCACGGCUAACUACGUGCCAGCAGCCGCGGUAAUUC